rnacentral:misc_RNA from 1 species
GUACCCUCAAGCUUUGCUUGGUGUUGGGCGUCUUUUGUCUCCAGCUCGCUGGAGACUCGCCUUAAAGUCAUUGGCAGCCGGCCUACUGGUUUCGGAGCGCAGCACAAGUCGCGCUCUUGUCCAGCCAAGGUCAGCGUCCAGCAAGCCUUUUUUCAAC